UACGAAGGGGGCUAGCGUUGCUCGGAAUUACUGGGCGUAAAGCGCGCGUAGGUGGUUUGUUAAGUUGGAUGUGAAAGCCCCGGGCUCAACCUGGGAACUGCAUCCAAAACUGGCAAGCUAGAGUACGGUAGAGGGUGGUGGAAUUUCCUGUGUAGCGGUGAAAUGCGUAGAUAUAGGAAGGAACACCAGUGGCGAAGGCGACCACCUGGACUGAUACUGACACUGAGGUGCGAAAGCGUGGGGAGCAAACAGG
rnacentral:rRNA from 1 species